CCUACGGGAGGCAGCAGUGGGGAAUAUUGCGCAAUGGGGGAAACCCUGACGCAGCAACGCCGCGUGAGUGAGGAAGGACUUCGGUCUGUAAAGCUCUGUUAAUGAGGAAAAAUGGUAGUUGGUCUAAUAGGCCGAUUAUUUGAUGGUACUCAUAGAGGAAGCACCGGCUAACUUCGUGCCAGCAGCCGCGGUAAUACGAAGGGUGCAAGCGUUGUUCGGAUUUAUUGGGCGUAAAGCGCGCGUAGGCGGACCUGCAAGUAAGAUGUGAAAUCUCGAGGCUCAACCUCGAAACUGCGUCUUAAACUACAGGUCUAGAAUCUCGGAGGGGGAAGGGGGAAUUUCGCAUGUAGGGGUAAAAUCCGUAGAUAUGCGAAGGAACACCAGAGGCGAAGGCGCCUUCCUGGACGAGUAUUGACGCUGAGGCGCGAAAGCGUGGGGAUCAAACAGGAUUAGAUACCCUGGUAGUCCACGCUGUAAACGAUGAACACUAGGUAUUGGAGGAUUUGACCCCUUCAGUGCCGUAGCUAACGCGUUAAGUGUUCCGCCUGGGAAGUACGGUCGCAAGACUAAAACUCAAAGGAAUUAGACGG
rnacentral:rRNA from 1 species